AACGAACGCUGGCGGCAGGCCUCAUACAUGCAAGUCGAGCGGACGGACCCCUUCGGGGGCGAGUUAGCGGCGAACGGGUGAGUAACAGGUGGAUGAUCUGCCUCCCGGUGGGGGAUAACGGCUGGAAACGGCCGCUAAUACCGCAUUCGGUUGAUGCGUUGCGGCGCAUCAAAGAAAGGCGCUUCACGGCGCUGCCGGGAGAUGAGUCCGCCCCCCAUUAGCUAGUUGGCGGGAUAACAGCCCACCAAGGCUUCGAUGGGUAGCCGAACUGAGAGGUUGAUCGGCCACACUGGAACUGAGACACGGUCCAGACACCUACGGGUGGCAGCAGUAGGGAAUAUUGGGCAAUGGGCGAAAGCCUGACCCAGCCAUGCCGUGUGAGUGACGAAGGUCCUAUGGAUUGUAAAGCUCUUUUCUGAGGAAAGAACAUCCGGGGUAGGAAAUGACCCCGGCUUGACGGUACCUCAGGAAUAAGGAACGGCUAACUCCGUGCCAGCAGCCGCGGUAAUACGGAGGUUCCAAGCGUUGUUCGGAAUUACUGGGCGUAAAGGGGGCGCAGGCGGACGAGUCAGUCUGAAGUGGAAUCCCGGGGCUUAACCUCGGACUUGCUUCGGAUACUGCUUGUCUUGAGUUCGUGAUAGGAAGACGGAAUUCAGGGUGUAGCGGUGAAAUGCACAGAUAUCCUGAGGAACACCGGUGGCGAAAGCGGUCUUCUGGCGCGAAACUGACGCUGAGGCUCGAAAGCGUGGGUAGCAAACGGGAUUAGAUACCCCGGUAGUCCACGCCGUAAACGUUGUAUACUAGGUGUAGGAGGUAUCGACCCCUUCUGUGCCGCAGCUAACGCACUAAGUAUACCGCCUGGGGAGUACGCGCGCAAGCGUGAAACUCAAAGGAAUUGACGGGGGCCCGCACAAGCGGUGGAGCAUGUGGUUUAAUUCGAUGAUACGCGAGGAACCUUACCCGGGCUCGAACGGUGCAUGAAUAAGCAAGAGAUUGUUUAGUCCUUCGGGACAUGUAUCGAGGUGCUGCAUGGUUGUCGUCAGCUCGUGCCGUGAGGUGUCGGCUUAAGUGCCAUAACGAGCGCAACCCCUGUUGUUAGUUACCAACAGGUAAAGCUGGGGACUCUAACGAGACUGCCACCGUAAGGUGUGAGGAAGGGGGGGAUGACGUCAAAUCAGCACGGCCCUUAUGUCCGGGGCGACACACGUGUUACAAUGGGGGGUACAGAGGGCAGCCAUCCGGUGACGGAGCGCCAAUCUCCAAAACCCUUCUCAGUUCGGAUUGGAGUCUGCAACCCGACUCCAUGAAGUUGGAUUCGCUAGUAAUCGCGCAUCAGCCAUGGCGCGGUGAAUACGUUCCCGGGCCU
rnacentral:rRNA from 1 species